GAAGAAUCACGGCUUCGCAGUGCGCACACGGGGAGCUUGCUCCCAGAGAUGCUGUAAGGAAAGUCCCCGUGCCUUGGUGCAGAGAGUGCGAGCGGGUGACCACAGGGCUCGUGCCAGACAGACAUGCCGUGAGCGCUCAUGAUUGGAGUGCGAGGAAACCUCCAGUGGUGAUGCUUCUCGCGGAGCCUUGGUGGUGGGCGCGGGCCCUUCGUAGCAGCACAGAGAUGCCGUGAGCG
rnacentral:RNase_MRP_RNA from 14 species